rnacentral:rRNA from 1 species
GACAGAGGUGCCGAGCGUUAGGCGGAAUCACUGGGCUUAAAGCGUGUGUAGGCGGGUCGUUAAGUGUCUUGUGAAAUCCCCCGGCUCAACCGGGGAAUGGCUGGGCAUACUGGCGAUCUUGAGCAGUCUAGGGGCAGAUGGAACAAGUGGUGGAGCGGUGAAAUGCGUAGAUAUCACUUGGAACGCCAAAGGUGAAGACAGUCUGCUGGGGAUCUGCUGACGCUGAGACACGAAAGCCAGGGGAGCGAACGGG